rnacentral:rRNA from 1 species
UAUAUUAAGAGUUUGAUCCUAGCUCAGGAUGAACGCUGGCGGCGUGGAUAAGGCAUGCAAGUCAAACGGGAUAAUUUGUGAUUAUAUCAAUAAUUGUUCAGUGGCAGACGAGGUAGUAACACGUAGGAAUGCACCCAGAAGUCUCGCA